rnacentral:misc_RNA from 1 species
UAGAGUUUAACAACUCCCAACCCUAUGUGAACUUACCAUUGUUGCCUCGGCGGACCUACCCUGUAGCUACCCUGUAGCUGCUUGGCAGCCCGUCGGUGGACCAUUAAACUCUUGUUAUUUAUGGAUAUCUGAGCGUUUUAAACAAAUAAGUUA